CAACCCUCGGGCCCCCUUCCGGGGCGGGCCCGGCGUUGGGGAUCGGCCGCCAAGCGCCGCCCCCGAAAUCCAGUGGCGGCCACGCCCGCGGCGACCUCUGCGCAGUACAACCACUCGCACCGGGAGCCGGGCGCGGCCACGCCGUGAAACCCCCGACCCUUCCAC
rnacentral:misc_RNA from 1 species